AGAGUUUGAUCCUGGCUCAGAGCGAACGCUGGCGGCAGGCCUAACACAUGCAAGUCGAACGGAUCCUUCGGGAUUAGUGGCGGACGGGUGAGUAACACGUGGGAACGUGCCCUUUGGUUCGGAACAACUCAGGGAAACUUGAGCUAAUACCGGAUGUGCCCUACGGGGGAAAGAUUUAUCGCCAUUGGAGCGGCCCGCGUCUGAUUAGCUAGUUGGUGAGGUAAAGGCUCACCAAGGCAACGAUCAGUAGCUGGUCUGAGAGGAUGAUCAGCCACACUGGGACUGAGACACGGCCCAGACUCCUACGGGAGGCAGCAGUGGGGAAUCUUGCGCAAUGGGCGAAAGCCUGACGCAGCCAUGCCGCGUGAAUGAUGAAGGUCUUAGGAUUGUAAAAUUCUUUCAGCAGGGACGAUAAUGACGGUACCUGCAGAAGAAGCCCCGGCUAACUUCGUGCCAGCAGCCGCGGUAAUACGAAGGGGGCUAGCGUUGCUCGGAAUUACUGGGCGUAAAGGGCGCGUAGGCGGGUCGUUUAGUUAGAGGUGAAAGCCCAGGGCUCAACCCUGGAAUUGCCUUUAAUACUGGCGGCCUUGAGUAUGGCAGAGGUGUGUGGAACUCCGAGUGUAGAGGUGAAAUUCGUAGAUAUUCGGAAGAACACCAGUGGCGAAGGCGACACACUGGGCCAUUACUGACGCUGAGGCGCGAAAGCGUGGGGAGCAAACAGGAUUAGAUACCCUAGUAGUCC
rnacentral:rRNA from 1 species